UACGAAGGGGGCUAGCGUUGUUCGGAAUUACUGGGCGUAAAGCGCACGUAGGCGGAUAUUUAAGUCAGGGGUGAAAUCCCAGAGCUCAACUCUGGAACUGCCUUUGAUACUGGGUAUCUUGAGUAUGGAAGAGGUAAGUGGAAUUGCGAGUGUAGAGGUGAAAUUCGUAGAUAUUCGCAGGAACACCAGUGGCGAAGGCGGCUUACUGGUCCAUUACUGACGCUGAGGUGCGAAAGCGUGGGGAGCAAACAGGAUUAGAAACCCCAGUAGUCC
rnacentral:rRNA from 1 species